rnacentral:rRNA from 1 species
CACAUGACUCUCGGCAACGGAUAUCUCGGCUCUCGCAUCGAUGAAGAACGUAGCAAAAUGCGAUACCUGGUGUGAAUUGCAGAAUCCCGUGAACCAUCGAGUUUUUGAACGCAAGUUGCGCCCGAGGCCUUCUGGUUGAGGGCACGUCUGCCUAGGCGUCACGC